AGCACAGAUUGAGUUUAUAUCGCUGCUGAGGUCAGCAAUACAUUUUCCUAUGGAUGAGGGAUCACUUAUUAGUGGGGGAAUGGCUGCCAGCCACUGAUUGUUAGCUUAGCUUCUAACGUAAAGCUUGCCCUGUUCACUUAAAGCACUAAAAGGUCCCCUAAAAUUUGUGAGACGUCAUUAGUAAACACCCGUUCCCGUUCAACCCAAUCAGUGUUUCUUGAUAGCAAUGUUACUGGAACACGUGGUAAUAUUAAGUAAUACUCGUCGCGUCUACUCACACUCCUGAAGCGCGGGAGACAGAGAUAGUAUUUUGCUUCGGCCAAACUAAUAUAUCUUCUCAAAUUUCCUUAAAUAUUUUGACUCGCUGAAUUCACACUCUGAAUGGCACACAUAAACGAUCUCAAUUGUCUCAAGGCUUGUCUCAAGCCUUCUUUAUCCUGUCUCCCCUUAAUUUACACUGAUUGAAGCGGAUUUAACAAGCAACAUCAAUAAGGGAUCAUAGCGUUCACCUGUUAAGUCUAUGUAAUUUAAUGUUUAGUAAACUCGGUGUAUAUUGCCUCUAACUAUUUUAUCCCCCAUCUCUCCAUCUCUGUGUAGUGGUGAGGCUGGAGUGUUGACUUGGAUCACCCAUGGCUUUGCUAAUUCUCUUCCCCAGCCUGCUGGGACACCCCGGCUAGGCAGAGCCAACACUGAGGUAAGCGCUAUGCUAUGUCAUCAUAGCAAAUAGAUACUAAUGUUGGUGGAUUUCUCAUUGGUAAGAAAUGGAGAUCCACUACAGAUUUGUGUUAACGUUACUGCAAGAUCGUUUUGAGUUCAAUCUCGGUGUGCCAGGUUUGACUCUGUUCUCUGUUUAUCCUUAUCCUUCAGCCCUCCACCACACAGGAGGAGAACAGGCAGGGGUCGAGAGUCAUCGGCUGGAUUGCCCAGGGAUUGGCCAGUGUGGUUCCACAGCCUGAAUUGAAAAACACGGAGGAGGUGGAACCUGCAGAAACAACAGAGGUACAUAUGGAAUGGUCUGACAGAUGCCCUGAAGGGUUCCACAGAUUUUAUUUGAGUAAUAGCCUGUAGCAGUGUUGUCUGAACUUUCAUCUAAGUCAGUUAAAUUGGUUGUAGUUAAGUGUUGUAGCUAUAUAACAGCCCCUACCUAAAAUCACACUGUACACUAAAAAUGUUUAAGUAAAGAGGACUUAGGCAGCCCCUCAAGCAUUUGUUAACUUCAAUCAGCAAGCUCUAAUAAAUAAAAACAAUCUCAGUUAGAGAGGACCAAAAUGUAUUAUUCAUAGUUAAAUUAUAGCAUUAGCUUUCUUUGACUCAUCUCUGUCCUGUACUUGGAACCAGGAUAGACGUUUUUAACAGCAUUUCCAUACAGAUUGCAGAGGUGAUCAAGGUGCCGGAGGUUAAGAAAAAACCUAGCGUAAGUAGCUACAUCAAGGGCCUUGCUAAUAUGCUAACCAAAAUUACUCAUGGCUUAUGCUAACAUGUAGCAUUAGCUUUCUCAAACUCUCAAUUCUGUACUUGGUGCCAGGCUAGCCAUGUUUAACAGCAUUUCCAUUCAGAUUGCAGAGGUGAGCAAGGCGCCGGAGGUUAAGAAAAAACCUAGCGUAAGUAGCUACAUCAAGGGCCUUGCUAAUAUGCUAACCAAAAUUACUCAUGGCUUAUGCUAACGUGUAGCAUUAACUUUCUCAAACUCUCAAUUCUGUACUUGGAGCCAGGCUAGCCAUGUUUAACAGCAUUUCCAUUCAGAUUGCAGAGGUGAGCAAGGCGCCGGAGGUUAAGAAAAAACCUAGCGUAAGUAGCUACAUCAAGGACCUUGCUAAUAUGCUAACCAAAACUACUCAUGGCUUAUGCUAACAUGUAGCAUUAGCUUUCUCAAACUCUCAAUUCUGUACUUGGUGCCAGGCUAGCCAUGUUUAACAGCAUUUCCAUUCAGAUUGCAGAGGUGAGCAAGGCGCCGGAGGUUAAGAAAAAACCUAGCGUAAGUAGCUAUAUCAAGGGCCUUGCUAAUAGGCUAACCAAAAUGUCUCAUGGCUUACGCUAACGUGUAGCAUUAGCUUACUCAAACUCUCCGUUCUGUACUUGGAGCCAGGCUAGCCAUGUUUAACAGCAUUUCCAUUCAGAUUGCAGAGGUGAGCAAUGCGCCGGAGGUUAAGAAAACACCUACCGUAAGUAGCAACGUCAAGGGCCUUGCUAAUAUGCUAACCAAAAUUACUCAUGGCUUAUGCUAACGUGUAGCAUUAGCCUUCUCAAACUCUCAUGUAUGUACUUGCAGCUAAGCUAGUCAUGUUUAAUAGAAUUUCCAUUCAGAUUCCAGAAAUGACCAAGCGUAAGUAGCUAGCUAUAAUAUGGGCGUUGCUAUGCUAUGCUAACUUAAACCCAAUGCUAACGGACCUGCUAUAGCCAUGUUCAAACUUGGUUCUAGAGAUCCAUUCGCCACAAUGUCCCAUUGCUACCCAUCUCCCACCCCAGCUGUGCCUUAACUUCAGGCUGAGAGGGCGGGUUCUUGCUGGCAACAAUGAUUCACAUGUCAUCCGCUCAAGCAGGUUCUGCGAGGUGGUGAUUCCUGUGGUUUAGCUGUUUGAUGAUCUACGGGGAUCGAUAACUCUUGACCUGGAGAGAAAAGGGUUUUCCACAAUCCCUGAUUGGAGAAUCAAAUUUAUAUGAGUCAGCUAUCAAAACCAAAUGAUAUUAUCCAAUCACAUAACAUCUCAAUUUGAAUGUCUCCUCACUUCAGUGGCAGCCUUUGCAAGAAUUUAACAGCAGUCAUUCCAUGCAUGCAUGCACUGUGUGAUAAUGAAUUAAGAAUAUAGCGGGUGUUUCAUAACAUGCAUACUACCAUGCUCCACACUCUCAUACUUCUAGUGCAUUCUCAGAGGACGUUCUCUUGAGUACGUUAUUGUGAGGACGAGAGUAUGGAGAACAAAUAAAACAUUACAUUUGAAAAGCACUCGCACUCCCCCUACUGUAUUACCUCACACUGGACCUCCCCAUUCACUGAACCUUCUUCUAGACAAGGAUAAUGGCAACAAUAGAGACUAAACAAGAUAUACGAAAAGCAAAGUUUUUUCAUAACUAUCAGCAAGCUAUAUGUGAAUCGUAAUAAUCGAGCUAACCAGAUAAUUUUCGCCUGUUAAUCUAUCUCAAACUAAUGUUAUGCAGGGUAACUUAGAUCUGAAAUCUUUGUGGCUAUCUAGCUAGCGAACAGUAGUAGCUCGCCAGUUGCCGUUAGCCCUAUUUUACUAUGGGCUUGCAAUCUACUUACACUACAGUGGGUAUUGUAGGCAGGUAAUGCCAAAAUAUGUACAAACGGAGUACUCGUCCGAGAAUUGCCCUCCGUGCUCCGUUUCUUUUGAUUUGGACUCAUACUCCAAUAUGCAGAGCACGGUGGUAUGCAUUUUGAGAAACAUAUUUCUAACCCUGUAGCUGUUCAGGUCCAGAGUUGUAUAUAUGUGCAGGUUCCUGCUGUGGCUUGUACAGUAUGUGAGAAGGCCUUUUAAGACAUGAAGAGCAUCCCCUGUCUAAGAGAAAGUUGCAAUUGAAUGACAAAAUGCACAAACCUACAGUGCCUUCAGAAAGUACACACACUCCUUUACUUUUUCCACAUUUUGUUGUGUUACAGCCUGAAUUUUAAAUAGAUUUGGUGUUACUGGACUACACACACAUUACCCCAUAAUGUCAAAGUGGAAUUAUGUUUUUAGAAAUAUUUACAAAUUAAUACAAAAUUAAAAGCUGAAAUGUCUUGAGUCAAUACGUAUUCAUCCCCUUUGUUUUUGCAUGUCUAAAUAUGUUCAGGAGUAAACAUUUGCUGAACAAGUCACAUAAUAAGUUGCAUGGACUCACUGUGUGCAAUAGUAGUGUUUAACAUGAUUUUUGAAUGACUACCUUAUCUCUGUACCCCACAGAUACAAUUAUCUGUAAGGUCCCUCAGUCAGGCAAUGAAUUUCAAACACAGAUUCAACCACAAAGACCAGGGAGGUUUUCCAAUGCUUAGCAAAGAAGGGCACCUAUUGGUAGAUGGGUAAAAAUAGAAAAAGAAGACAUUGAAUAUCCCUUUGAGUAUGGUGAAGUUAUUCAUUACACUUUGGAUGGUGUAUAAAUUUACCCAGUCCCUACAAAGAUACAGGCGUCCUUCCUAACUCAGUUGUCGGAGAGGAAGUAAACCGCUCAGCAAUUUCACCAUGAGUCCAAUGAUGACUUUUAAAAAAGUGGCUGUGAUAGGAGAAAACUGAGGAUACAUCAACAAUUUUGUAGUUACUCCACAAUACUAACCUAAAUGACAGAGUAAAAAGAAGGAAGCCUGUACAGAAUACAAAUAUUCCAAAACAUGCAAUAAGAAAUUAACUUUAUUUCCUGAAUACAAAGCGUUAUGUUUGGGCCAAAUACAACACAUUACUGAGAACCACUCUUCAUAUUUUCA
rnacentral:lncRNA from 1 species